CUGGGCACUGUGCUCCACGCAUUCCCACCCUGAUGCUGUCACUCAGUGACACAUUUGUCACCGACAGACUCCCCGUGGGUCCCGAGGUGGGCUGGGGGGUGUCCUGUGAAAGCAACCCCAGUGACAGCCCCCAGCCCUAGAAGGCACAGAUCCUGGAAAACCACCGUUAAUGCUGCCAAAAUCAGCUUCAUCUCAUCACCCUGGGACUCCAUCUGGGGGCUCUGUGGAAGCUUCCCCUGUUUCAAGCUGGUGCUACCCCGUGCUCGUUGACGAUGCUUCAUGCUCUGGCAUACACGCCUGCAGAGGUUAAAUCUGCUCUGCACCCUCACUUCAAGUCAGACCUUUUUCAAGCACACCUGCUGUUGCUAAGCAAGCACCUGCCUGCCUUUGCUUUGCAAGCACCUUUCUUUCCAUGGCCUAUGAAGAGUGGAUACAGGUAAGAGAGAGGUGCUGAAGAGAGGAUGAAAUUAAGAGAGAUGAGCAGGAACAGAUUGGAGAGCUGGAGAGGAGGAAAAAGCAUGCUGGUAAAACAAGAGUAGAAGAGAAGUAGGAAGGAUGCAGGUAAGGAAGAAGUGCAGAAGAUGAAAAGAGCAACAGAGGAAAGGAUCUGAUACAGGCAAGACAGCAGAAGAGGAGAUGAGCAGAAGAGGAGAAGAGAGGAUAAAGCUAUGACAGAUGCUGAGAAGGAUAAGAGCAGAAGGAGAGAAGAACAGACACAGGGAAGAAACAAGAGCAGAAGAGGAGGAGAAGAAAAAGAGAAUGAAGGAACAGAGAUGAUUCCAUACUUGGCCAAGAAUCCUCUUCUGCUAUCCAGCACAUCCAUUUCCGAGCAGGACACCAUCACUCCAAUUGCUGCGUUGUCAUCUCUUCCUACACCCUAAAAUGCAAAACAGCCAUGGACAGCUGACUACAAAGCCUUCAGAGCAGUCACUGACAGACACAAAGCUUGCAGAUAUCCACCACCAGUGACGUGCUGUGAGCUGAUGUCUCUGGGCCCAGUGCACAGCAGCCUUUUCUUCAGUGCCCUAAUGCCUCCUCACAGCAAACCUCUGCUGCCAAAGCAUCCUUUGGCCAAGGAAACUGUGCCAUAAAGCACAAUGCUUUCUGAUCUGACUGUAUCCACAAAGCAUAAAGACAGACCGUGCCUUCCUCCUAAGUACCACCACUUCUACACAGACUCCUCCACUUUCGUGCUUCUUUCUCGUUUGUGUUAUCUGACUGCUGUUUGAACCCUGUGGAUUUACAGUGGAUGUGGAUGUCAGAUUGUAAACAUUCUG
ensembl:lncRNA